rnacentral:rRNA from 1 species
GACAGAGGAGGCGAGCGUUAUCCGGAGUUACUGGGCGUAAAGGGCGCGGAGGCGGCCUGCGGCGUCGGCGCUGAAAGCGCCCCGCUUAACGGGGCGAGGCGUGCCGAUACGCGCAGGCUCGAGGCGAGCAGAGGGUGGUGGAAUUCCGGGUGGAGCGGUGAAAUGCGUAGAGAUCCGGAGGAACGCCAGUGGGGAAGCCGGCCACCGGGGCUCGUCCUGACGCUGCGGCGCGACAGCGUGGGGAGCAAACCGG